CACUUAACCGGCUAACCCAAGUUUGCCUCCUUUAAUGUUUCACUUAAACCUAUCAUUUUCUGAAUUUUUACUCAGCCUUUUGAGGUACUUUUAACCAACAUACUGUGAUACACAGUAUUCCAUUUUCCAGCAAAUUCUACCCUGCACUUUACGCUUCGUGGCAGAGACCACUGACCAAACUCCACCAACAGACUCUCUCACUACCCUUCUCUCUCUCCCUUUCCAAACUCUCUCUGCAAAGUUCCAAGCAUCUGCUUUUCACCUCAAACAAUCGGUGGUAAGGGAGACAUUGGGGUCACGUGGGAAGCGUGCAAUGAUUAUUCCCUUUACACGGGAGCUCUUGGGACCGCAUAGCUGCUUUUCAAGGCCUACCAAGUAACCAAGGACGGGAAUGAUCAUAAUUUGUGCUCAGAGAUUGUUAAGGCUUGUGAUUCUGCUUCAAUGGAUUCCCGGUACUCUCUCUCUUUCAUGCAUCAGAGGCUAUUAUAAGUUACUAUGACUUAGCCAUUAUAAAGGGUUGGUUUAAACUUUAAAAUAUAGGAUUUUGAUUUUAGUUGUUAAAUGGUUGGAUUGAAGCACAAUGGUGUGCGUUGCUUGGAUGUCAGCUUACUUAUUAGUUAAAAUCUUAUGUUGUCUGGUCAUGCAAUCGGGAAAUUUCCACCCGUGUUUUUCAUUUUUUGCAUGAGACCAUUUGUAUUCUCUUGGUACGAUAAUUAUGCUCGAGUUGGGUAAGGCUACUGUAGGUGACGAAUCUCCCCUUUUAAAUAUUUAAUGCAAUUGCAUCCUCAAAUUCAAGUUGAUCUAUGCACUCGGUGGUAUUUUCACUAGUGUUUAUGUCUUGGGUUUAAUUGAAUCAGAACUACAAAAUAGUAUUUGGAAAAACCUAAACUAAACAGUUGCAGUUUUCUAGUAUACAUUUUGGGUGUGUGUCUCUAUGUAUAAUUUUUUAUAGCCACCAUGUUUCUGCUAUAAUCUGCAAGACCCUCAGCCAUAUUUUUUUAAGGAAGAUCUUUGGCUUGUUGACAUGAUCUGCCAUCUGCCGUUUAAUAACACUGGUUCCGGCCCAGUGUUGAAACUUGAAAAUGAAACUAUUUUGGUUUAAUUGAGUUGCAGCAAAGUGACAUUUAUCUGUGGGCGUGCUGGUGUUUGUGCUCUUGGUGCUGUCAUAGCUAGGCAUAGUGGUGAUGAAAGACUACUUGACUAUUACCAGAGGCAUCUUGUUUUAUUCAUUUUGUAUCCUUGUGAUAAUUCCAAUUUACACAUCAAAUCCAGUUGUUUAACCGCGUUUCAUAUUUGUGCCUUUGCUUAGAACAGAUUGGGAUACCUCAUGAUUUGCCCUAUGAGCUAUUGUAUGGCAGAGCAGGUUACUUAUGGGCUUGUUCAUUCUUAAACUAGCAUAUUGGUAACAACAAAAUACAUACUACCCACAUGGUAAUAAGGCCUAUGUGCUUCAUGAUGUGUCUCAUGGCAUUUUUACUGUGCAAUUCAUUUUGACAAGAUGAGUUUUUAAGUUCCAUAGAGAUCAGUUGCGGAUGAAGUUACUAUGGCUGGCAGACAAUUAGGUCGCAAAGGAAGAUGUCCUCUGAUGUAUGAAUGGCAUGGGAAGAAAUACUGGGGUGCUGCUCAUGGACUUGCAGGAAUUAUGCAUGUUUUGAAGGACAUGGAACUCAAGCCAGAUGAGGUGGAGGAUGUCAAGGGUAUGCUACGAUACGUGAUUAACAAUCGUUUCCCUUGGGGCAAUUAUCCCUCCAGUGAAGGAAGUGAAAAUGACCGUCUUGUGCAUUGUUGUCAUGGUGCUCCUGGACUCACUCUUACCCUUGUUAAGGCAACGGAAAAGUUAUAUUAUAGGCAAUUCAGUUGGUACUUGAGUAAUUCGUUUUUGAAACAACUUUAUUUCCCGCAGAAGUCAUAUAUUCCUUUUACGCCUGGGCACAAACAUGAAACUGAGUUUUACUUCUGGUUUUCUUGUGUUUUAAAUUCCAGAAAUUAUGCAAUAAUUUUUUAGCCUAAUUAUGAAACACAUGUUCACAUCUCAUGACUAUAUUCUUUGCCAUAACCAUUAGGUUUUUGGGGAGAAGGAAUUUUUGCAAGCAACUGUUGAUGCAGGGGAAGUAGUAUGGAAGAGGGGUCUGCUUAAGCGAGUCGGGAUCUGUCAUGACAUUGGUGGGAACACCUAUGUCUUUCUUUCUCUUUAAAGAAUGACAGGAAAUGAGGAGGUACUUGCAUAGGGCCAAAGCAUUUGCUUGUUUCCUACUUGAUAGGGCACAAAAACUAAUAUCAGAAGGAAGGAAAGAUGCAUGGAGGAAUAAAAAACAAUGAUCAAGCGCUUUAAAGGGUAAUCAGAUUUUUCCUAGUCCUCAAGCAACAGGCGCGCAAGGAGGAAAUGCCCCAGAUGCUUUGUCCGUUUAGAUCUUUUUGUGUGUGCAGGAAGAAAAAAUUAAAUGUGGGCUAAGCCCAGCGAGCUGUAGCGGUACCACUAUCAAACUACGAAUAACUAGCCUAGAAGGCUAGAAGUCGAGAACUGUGGUACUACUGUUCAAGAGUGUAUAUGAUCAUUUCUUUUAGGAAAGAGUGAUAUGAUAUAAUCAUUAGGAAAUAUUCGAAGAAAAAAAAAUCAUCAUGAAAUAUUGAUCGGAGAAAAACAAUGAUGCGUUGAUGAAUCCUAGAUAAAAAUACAAAGAAGGCCCAAACCUUAUACAAUAGUUUUAACUUUUAACAGAAGAUUUGGUAUGCUACCAUACCAUGUAUGCCAAA